rnacentral:rRNA from 1 species
UACGUAGGGGGCGAGCGUUAUCCGGAAUUAUUGGGCGUAAAGAGCGCGCAGGUGGUUGAUUAAGUCUGCUCUGAAAGCCCGGGGCUCAACCCCGGGAGGCGGGUGGAUACUGUCUAGCUCGAGUCCGGAAGAGGAGUGUGGAAUUCCUGGUGUAGCGGUGAAAUGCGCAGAUAUCAGGAGGAACACCAAUGGCGAAGGCAGCACUCUGGGACGUGACUGACGCUGAGACGCGAAAGCGUGGGGAGCAAACAGG